rnacentral:lncRNA from 1 species
UGCUUCCAAUAACAGACUGUAGUGUUUUUGACUACAAAAGGUCAUCAGCUAAUAUGUUGAAGUAAGAAUUCUGUUUCUCUACAACUGCCUUCUCAUAGAUAGGACGGGAAAUUACAAAAACAUUCCAGAGGAAAUAGUAAAUAGUUCUGCCUAAGCUUUCAUAUAGGAUUUUGCAAUGGGGGAAUGUUGUACUUAGUAUGCAUUUCAAAAUUAAUGUGCUUGAUCUAUUAAAUGUGAUAACUCAGGAACCGGGAAGAGCAGAAUUUGGUGGCUUAUCCUCAUGAUGGAAAAAUCUUUUUCUGCACCUCACAAGAUAUCCCUCCUGAAAAUGAACUGCUUUUUUAUUAUAGCCGAGAUUAUGCUCAACAGAUUGGUGUUCCUGAACACCCAGAUGUGCAUCUCUGUAACUGUGGCAAGGAGUGCAAUUCUUACACAGAGUUCAAAGCCCAUCUGACCAGCCACAUCCAUAACCAUCUUCCUACCCAGGGACAUAGCGGCAGCCAUGGGCCAAGUCACAGCAAAGAAAGGAAGUGGAAGUGCUCAAUGUGCCCCCAAGCUUUUAUCUCUC